rnacentral:rRNA from 1 species
UACGGAGGGUGCGAGCGUUGUCCGGAAUCAUUGGGCGUAAAGGGCGCGUAGGUGGCCCGGUCAGUCUUUGGUGAAAGCGCGGGGCUCAACCCUGCGUCGGCCAGGGAUACUGCCGCGGCUCGAGCACUGUAGAGGCAGGCGGAAUUCCGGGUGUAGCGGUGGAAUGCGUAGAGAUCCGGAAGAACACCGGUGGCGAAGGCGGCCUGCUGGGCAGUUUGGCUGACACUGAGGCGCGAAAGCGUGGGGAGCAAACGGG